GGGUGGCAGCAGUCGAGAAUCAUUCGCAAUGGGGGAAACCCUGACGACGCGACGCCGCGUGGAGGAUGAAGGCCUUAGGGUUGUAAACUCCUGUCAAGAGGGAAUAAGCAAGUGAAGGUACCUCUAGAGGAAGGGGCGGCUAAUUCCGUGCCAGCAGCCGCGGUAACACGGAAGCCCCGAGCGUUGUUCGGAUUCAUUGGGCGUAAAGGGUGCGUAGGCGGCGCGGAAAGUCCGGCGUGAAAGGCAGGGGCUCAACCUCUGGACUGCGUUGGAUACUUCCGUGCUUGAGGACUGGAGGGGAGACUGGAAUUCACGGUGUAGCAGUGAAAUGCGUAGAUAUCGUGAGGAAGACCGGUGGCGAAGGCGAGUCUCUGGACAGAUCCUGACGCUGAGGCACGAAGGCUGGGGGAGCGAACAGGAUUAGAUACCCUGGUAGUCCCAGCAGUAAACGAUGUGAGCUUGAUGUGGGGGGAUUCGACCCCUUCCGUGUCGAAGCUAACGCGAUAAGCUCACCGCCUGAGGAGUACGGCCGCAAGGCUAAAACUCAAAGAAAUUGACGGGGACCCGCACAAGCGGUGGAGUAUGUGGCUUAAUUCGAUGCAACGCGAAGAACCUUACCUGGCCUUGACAUGCAUUGUGUCGUCGGUGAAAGCCGGCUAGUCCUGGAAACAGGACGCUUUGCACAGGUGCUGCAUGGCUGUCGUCAGCUCGUGUCGUGAGAUGUCGGGUUAAGUCCCGCAACGAGCGCAACCCUUGUGGUCAGUUACUAACCGGCUUAGCCGGAGGACUCUGGCCAGACUGCCCUGUCAAACGGGGAGGAAGGUGGGGACGACGUCAAGUCAGUAUGGCCCUUAUGGCCAGGGCUGCACACGUACUACAAUGCCCGGUACAAUGUGAACCGAAACCGCGAGGUGGAGGAAAUCGCUCUUGAAAACCGGGCCCAGUUCGGAUUGGAGUCUGCAACUCGACUCCAUGAAGUCGGAAUCGCUAGUAAUGGCGUAUCAGCAACGACGCCGUGAAUACGUUCCCGGGUCUUGUACACACCGCCCGUCACAUCAUGGAAGUCUCCUGUACCCGAAGCACGUGCGCCAACCUUUCAGGAGGCAGCGUUCGAAGGUAUGG
rnacentral:rRNA from 1 species